UCACCCAUCCUAGAAUUGCUCUCGCACGAACUCGCUUAACUUCGAAGUUCCUACAGAACCCGAAGCCAAUGAGGUCCCAAAGGCCUCAUGCUAGGUAAAGAUGAGAAUAUACAUACAAGGCUUAUAGGAUUCACACCCCUAGGCGAUGUGGAAUCUUACAGUUAACUUGUCAUGUUCUACAGCUAAGGAAGCAAUUUCAUGAAAAUUGCUACACAAAUGGCUAUAACGCUUUCCCAUAGAUUCUUUAAGAUUGUCAUGAGCACCCAUUCCAUGGUGAUCUUUCAUACUUCUAGCCUUUGCCACUCUUGUCCAUCGAUUUAAUAUGUAAUGUGAUGAGAUUUUUUUUUUCACAUUAUUCUUAUCAAGCACUUUGAUUGCAAGACCACAUAAAAUCCCUAUAAGUUAUUAUGUAUGGUAGUCAAAUUGUUUUUUAUGUUAUAUUGAAUUUAAUUUAAUGGUUAUACUUUAUCCUCCUAUGAGUUAUUACUGUUAUAUUUACUUUGAGUAGGAUUUGUUGAAGGACAAACUGCAAGGAGGUUUUCUUAAACGAAUAUGAUAUGCUAUGAAACCGAAUGAAGCUUAUGGUCGUCUAUUCCCUUUUGUUAAUUUCUUGGUAAGUUUCUAUAACAUUGAUUAGUUAUGUCUUCGAGAUUCUAAUGGCUAGAAAUGCUAAUGUAAUGAACUGUGCAAUAUUGUAAUAGUGUAUGGUUAAUGUGAUCCCAUAUCUAUUUGAUUGAAAUAUUGUUCUACAACAAGUUUAAACUUUGUUUUUCCAAUACCUUAUCACAAAAUAAUUCCACAUUGAACAAAUUACAAGAUAUGUUGCAACAUGUGCUUUGAUAAAUUGCAUUCAAAUUGAUACUGCUUAAGAAUGCAUUUGAACAUGUUGAAUUUCACGCCCGCAGCAUCGCUCAGGCAGCAUUGCUAGUUAACACUAUUCAUAAGCUACAGUACAAAUUCCCUGAUUUUGAUUUAUUUACCAAAUUGCCAUUGUACCAAAAAAUUUGCUUUGUUAUGGAUUUUCCAGGUUCGGUUUGCAUUCAAAGGCCCCAGACAGAGGCCUAAAGGCCUGGACCAAAACGGCCCAGUCCCAGUCUUGAAACAAGCAAAACUACUCUUUUGCCCGUUUGGAUUUCAGAUCGGACGGACAGGGUUGACGAUUGUGGGGGUGGUUUUGUGAUUGGAUUGCAGACCAUGUUGUCUGCUUCAUUCGAUGGGAUUGAGGGAGUGUUGUUGCACAUGGAGACGAAGAGAGAAUGAGAGGUCCUGCAGACAGACGGAGGUGCAGCAAAGCAAGCAGCGGUAUGGGCUGCACUGAGAGAAGGAGAGAGAGAUAUGCUGAGUUUAAUUUUGGCCUGUUCGUUUAUAGGGUGGUUCUGAUAUGGAGGAGAAGCUGCAAGAGCUUAUGAUCUUGCCGACCUAAGUAGGGUCCUUCUUCAACUCAUAUAAACUUUCCGAUACUUCAAGUCCGAUACUAGGACUAUCCAAUGUUAGAAGUCUGGAUCCAUUAUUGCCACGAGGUGCUCGUAAGAUGUUACUGGUUUUGUGCCUAAUCGGAAUCUGCCAAGGUCGGGGGAGGCUGGCACUCAUCCAGAUCUCCAGGUUUUGGGAGUGGCUCAGAUUUGAUUUGGAUAUAUGUUACACAAGACAUGUUCCUUUGUAAAGUUAUUCAGCGUUUUGUAAAUCCACAUUUUUGUUUUGUUUGAAUAGCUAAUUAAGUCCUUGAAGGCAACUGUUGUUAGACCAUUAUUAUUUU